rnacentral:ncRNA from 1 species
AACCGAAAAGCAGCGCCUGCACUCGCCGCGCCCGAAGGCGGCGAGUGGACGAGGCAGUGGUUCAUCGAAGCAUUCGGCGGGUGCCACUCGGCCGGCCACGGUCGUAAGGGGUCCCUCAAAGCCGCCGGGCGACCGGCGGGACAAAGGGGGCCUUGGUGGUCCA